CUACAGAAAGAUUUCACGCAUUGAUGUAACUCCAGCCGCUUUUCAGGUCCUGGGGAUUCCACAUGUUUACUGGACGGUUCUCGAUGUUGACCAUUCUGAGUUACUAUUCCCUGGUACAUAAUAUAUCCUCUCAUGUUUGUUUACCAAGAAGAACGACAAUAGCCAAAGGGUCCUUCUUUUAACCCUAAACCACAGCAAACAUUGUCUCCAGAAGGGCCUCGGUUAUCUAAGGAGCCUUGGGCUACCAUGAAAUGUGCAGAGGAAACAAUUCACCCCUGUUCACCCAUGUUCGCUAUCACCACCUCGUGCGUGGCUUAGGAUGGCGGGGUGGAGUCUUUCCUAAUCAUGCAACACUCUGUGCCCCUGACAGAAGAAUCUCAGGGGAGUGUCCACCAAGGUCUACCAUGACAAGUCUUCCAGGAAGGGCAAUGUGGUUCAGACCAAAGAGCACCAGAGUGGAAGGACAGAGGACAAUGUGCCUGUCAUAGCUCUUCUGCUGGUCAUAUGAUCAUGCAUGGAUCUCCUUUCACAUAGAAUGGUGGUAACAUGUAUUCCCUGGUGAGAGCAAAGGGCAAUCAAUGUGUGGCAUAAGUUAGGCCAGUGAUAUGUAAGUGGUGUUGCAGUCUGUAGUAUGCUGGGCAAGUGUAAGUUAUCACUCAGAUUUGAUUCCGAGGAGGCCCUGCCCGACCUGCCAAGUCCCUCCAAGCUGCCUGGAUCAGGGCCUGGUAUCUCGUCCAGAUCGGAACAGUCGGAGUCCAGUAGGAAUAGUAGGGACAGAGUAACCCUCAGAGCUUGUGUUUUCCAUUCCGACAGCUCAUUUAUCCCACCGUAUCUGUUUCUCCCUGUGCCUCGAAGCCAGCACCCCAGGGACGUGACCCAGUUGCCUUGCCGCCCACAGAGCUUCCUUCCCAGAGCCUUCCUCCCCACCCCGAAGGACACAGGAGGCAACUUGCUCCCCCCGUGCUCAUGCCCCCACGGCUCAUUGUCCACAGGCCACACCGCAGUGUGCUCUUCACCACAGGACUUUGUCCCUGUUGCCUCUUAAUCCCACGUCCAGGUCUUGGAGCCAUCAGUAUAAUUUCCCUGUCAUUAGCAAUGUGCUCACGAUGUACUUUCCUCACUAUGACUCAGAAUGACUUCAGGUCCUUCGAACAAUUGAAGUCCUUUGUAGACUAAGAGUUGGUGUUGAUAAUGUCCAAAUGGAUUGGGUCAAUUUUCCGUCCUCAGACAGGCCCUAACCAGGAAACAGAAUUGCAGGGAAAUGGAAACCAGAUUCAAAAAGAUACAUGAAGAUGAAAUCCGGGUAUGGAGAACACAGCUUUCCAGGAAGGGCUGAAACAACUAGAAUUAUUUUGGCUUGAGGGUGAAGUACACAAAAUGCAGGCUGGCUCUUUCCUGUCGCCACCAAAGAGGGAAACAACAGAAAGGUCUUCAGAUAGGGCAAGAAGGAUUUAGGUGACAUUUAAAGAAGAAUUUCUUAGUAAUGUGCAUUGUUAAAUAUUGGAAGAAUUUACAAAGGAAAUCUGUAAAAUUCCUUUCUGUACCAAUCUUUCCAUAGAAGGG
ensembl:lncRNA